AAGUUUAAAAAGGAAAUGACGUCUAGUUUUUCAAGUCUAAGUCAUUUUGAUGUUAAAAGUAAAUGUUAGAAUAUAUCAUCCUGAUAAAAGAAUGACAUGAGUUCAUUAAAGGCCACCAAAACUUAUUUGAGAAUCAUAAGGAAGUAGAAAAUGAAAGAACUAACAUUUAUCUCAAACUACCAAAUUAUGAAUUAAAUGUUAAGUGUCUAUAUAUAUAUAUACAUAUAUACAUAUAUAAAAUUCCAUUAUAAAGAAACUAAAAAACAAAGCAGUCAUUUUACUGCACCCUUAAAAAGAGCACCGUACAGUGACAGUCGUUUCGUCCACACUUGUCUUGCCCAACCUCUAACUCACACCAGGAAAACAAAAGGGGGUGACCCACCACUGACCAAGUCAGGUCACUGCCCUCAGGCUAAAAGUUGCAAAUUUAAGCUAUUUUCUGACAUACAAUAUAAAUUGCCCAAGCCUAUUAGAAGUUUUGCAAUUCUCAGUCUCAUCUCUACCACUGAAACGAAUUUUAGAUGUAUUUUUAAAGCCACCAAUGUAUCACAACUGAAUCACUGAGCAAUCACCAGGAUCCAGAGCCUCACCACCACCGCCCCGUCAGCCUCCACCCCUGCCUCUCUAAUGUCUGCAUCCUACCUAUCUGGAUGUUUCAGACUAUUCAAGAUACAAUGUUGCAGAGUUGCGAGGACCAUUGUCGCUGGGAAAGAUGUUUUCUUCCUCACAGUGAAAACAGCUCAAGUGAAAAGCUUUUUCCAGCAGGGUGGAAACAAGUUCUGCCAGUGAAGCUGAAGCAACUGACAAUCCGGGAACCAGGACCUUGGGGGGUGGGGGGAAGGACCGUGGGGCCACGGUUGGAUCCAGGAACCUCCCUGCAAUUAAAAUCAAUUUAAGCAAUGCAAUUAAA